AAGGAAUAUGGGGCAAUGGACGCAAGUCUGACCCAGCCAUGCCGCGUGAAGGAUGAAUGUCCUAUGGAUUGUAAACUUCUUUUAUGCAGGAAAAAUAUCCUGGUCGAGCACCGGGACUGAUGGUACUGUAUGAAUAAGCAUCGGCUAACUCCGAGCCAGCAGCCGCGGUAAUACGGAGGAUGCAAGCGUUAUCCGGAUUCAUUGGGUUUAAAGGGUGCGCAGGCGGAAUGAUAAGUCAGUGGUGAAAUCUCCCGGCUCAACCGGGAAACUGCCAUUGAUACUGUCAUUCUUGAGUACAGUUGAAGUGGGCGGAAUGUGUCAUGUAGCGGUGAAAUGCUUAGAUAUGACACAGAACACCGAUAGCGAAGGCAGCUCACUAAGCUGUAACUGACGCUCAUGCACGAAAGCGUGGGGAUCAAACAG
rnacentral:rRNA from 1 species